rnacentral:rRNA from 1 species
CUGCCUGGUAGUGGGGGACGAACGUUUCGAAAGGAACGCUAAUACCGCAUACGUCCUACGGAGAAAGCAGGGACCUUCGGGCCUUGCGCUAUCAGAUGAGCCUAGGUCGGAUUAGCUAGUUGGUGAGGUAAUGGCUCACCAAGGCGACGAUCCGUAACUGGUCUGAGAGGAUGAUCAGUCACACUGGAACUGAUACACGGUCCAGACUCCUACGGGAGGCAGCAGCC